rnacentral:rRNA from 1 species
GACGUAGGGCGCGAGCGUUGUCCGGAUUUAUUGGGCGUAAAGAGCUCGUAGGCGGCUUGUCGCGUCGACUGUGAAAACCCGCGGCUCAACCGUGUGGUCUGCAGUCGAUACGGGCAGGCUAGAGUUCGGUAGGGGAGACUGGAAUUCCUGGUGUAGCGGUGAAAUGCGCAGAUAUCAGGAGGAACACCAAUUGCGAAGGCAGCUCGCUGGGACGUUACUGACGCUGAGACGCGAAAGCGUGGGGAGCGAACAGG